ACAGAGGAAUUUCGUUUUCCUUACGCAAAUCAAUCCGUGGGAAUAUAUGUCAAGGCAACCACAGAGUUCACUCAGUUUGCUUUCAGUCAAGGUAGCUGCAGAUCAACUUGUGAAUUGAUCCAAAUCGAUUUCUUCAAGUUUCACUGAAUCCGGGUUUGAGCAACAGAUAUCAGAGAGGUCAUUGAGGUGUCAGAGAAUUAGCGUGAUCAGAGCAAGAAAGAAACGGAUGACGAAGACAGAAACGACUGCGUCUAAACAGCAACGAAAAAACUUUCGAGUCAAGGGGUACCUAUCGAAAAGCCGUUAAGUACUGUGAAAAAAAAUUGAAAAUUGCAAUAGAAAUCGGUGAUCGGAACCGAGAAGGAAAAGCCUAUGG